CCUUGCCAACCACAGAAGCAUUCUUGGAAUGCAUCGCGCCCCGAAUGAAUCCACUCAGCCCUUUAUGCCAAGGCCAGGAAUCCCGCUCGGUUCGGAGAGUUGGAAGCCCUUGCGGAUCCCCCAGCCGGUCUUUGGCCAAUGGCUGCCAGGGCCUGUAACCGGAGGGGAGGGCAGGUUUUCGCAGGGAAACCCCCGACCCUCCUCCCGCGGCCUGGAGAGUUUCAACCCCACCCCCAUAGGAGCCAGCCAGUUUACUUUAACUCUGAAAAUAUUGCCUUUUUCAAAAGGAGGAACCAAGAAAGAAAUACCUGCAACCUCCUCCUCCGUAGCUUUCAUUGUGAUGGCAAACAUUUCUUGGGAUACUGGGGCUUGAAGAUACACGGAAAAGUUAAUCCACUUUACCAUCAAAGCCAAGAUUCUUAAACUGCAUUGAACUUGGAUAAGUCCUUGAUUGGCAACCCUCACCCUCUUGAUGUGUAAGUCAGGACUUGGCAUUUUCUAGUUGGGGAACCAGUGCCGUGAGGAGCUUUCUGCUUUUCUCUUAUUUAUCUAAGGCAGUAGGCCUUCCCCUUCAACAAAAGUAACCACCACAGUGAGAAAACAAUAUUACACAGAUGAAUAGGAAAGCCACUAUUAUUAUGUCAUAUAAUCAAGACAGGAUUCUGAAACUCAAUUAAAAAAGGCAAACUUUCCUAACAGCCUUCUGGAGGAGGAAAGCCAGUGCCUCUUUGUGGCAGGCAGCUUUCUGGUUAUUCCUCUGAUUGCAUCAUAAAGGGAACUCUCUAGAUUUGCUCCAGCAUUUCUAAAAGAGCACAAACUGCAUUAGUUGGCAGAAGAUGUGAUGGAAACGACUAGUGCUAAGGGAUUAAUGUGGAGCCACAGAGGAGUGUGAUAGAUUGAAGAGGCUACAUCAGUGUUUCAAGGGAAGGACCUGGCACCCAGAGCUGGGCACCAGAAUCUGGGCAUCUGACAGCACCCUAGCUUGUAUGUAAAUGCCACAGGAUUCAGGAAAAGCUGUUUUUUUCAGAAGGUGAAAGUAAGAGAUGCUUUGAAGUAUCCAUCGCUUUGAAAUGAAAUCCCUACAGAUAAAUGACUGGGAAAAGGUCUUGCCAUUUUCUCAGCGUGGCAGAUCUUUUCCCAGCCUCUGAGUGACUCUCGUGUCCUGGUAAACUCCCAGCCUCAUUUUCACCUCAGUCUUGUGCAGAGGUUAAGAAAGUGAGCUGUAACAGUAGAUUUCCUGGGUUUCUGUUCUGGUUCUGCUGCUUUCUAGCUGGGCAAGUUCCUUGACCUCACUUUCUCUGUUUUUUCUUCUACAAAAUGGGUAUAUUAAUAGUAUCUACUGCUGAAAAUAAUAAGGAUUAUAAACGGGAUCAUCCAAGUAAGGUGUUUAGUGUAGGACUUAACACCAAUACAGGUAUGUGUUUCUAUCACCAGGAUUCUCCAGGGCACCUUCAACUUCAUGAGGACAGGAGCUGUUGUUUUUUCAUUACCAUAUUCCCAAGUUCUAGUACAGUGAUACUGUAGUACUCUUUAAGUGUUUCUUGAAUGAAUAAAUAAUGUACUUUUGUCAGCAGUCCAUCAACAGAGAGCCUGUCUUCCCUUUAAGUCUCAACUCUAUACUCAUUAAUCCCCUUCAUGGUCAAGAACCUUAAUCCACUCAGACUCUUAUCAUUUUUCCCCCGCUUUAUUUCAUCACUCUUCCCCAGCUUCCCAAGCUCUUAUUUCCCUCAACUCAUGCCUCAUUUUCUUUGACCUGGGCAUUCAGGCAUCUGCACAGAGUUCAGCCCUUUCUAUUCCUAAAUAUCUCAGUCAUUUUUUUCCUACUGUCAGGGUGUGCUGCCUUGGUUCAAG
ensembl:lncRNA